rnacentral:rRNA from 1 species
AUAUCAAUAAGCGGAGGAAAAGAAACUAACAAGGAUUCCCCUAGUAACGGCGAGUGAACCGGGAAGAGCUCAAAUUUGAAAUCUGGCGUCCUCAGGGCGUCCGAGUUGUAAUCUAUAGAGGCGUUUUCCGCGCCGGACCGUGUAAUAAGUCUCCUGGAACGGAGUAUCAAAGAGGGUGACAAUCCCGUGCUUUACACGACGACCGGUGCUAUGUGAUACGUCUUCUACGAGUCGAGUUGUUUGGGAAUGCAGCUCAAAACGGGUGGUAAACUCCAUCUAAAGCUAAAUAUUGGUGGGAGACCGAUAGCGAACAAGUACCGUAAGGGAAAGAUGAAAAGCACUUUGGAAAGAGAGUUAAACAGUAU